rnacentral:piRNA from 1 species
UGCUCUUGCGUAAAGAUGACCGAUGG